rnacentral:misc_RNA from 1 species
UGGCUCUCGCAUCGAUGAAGAACGCAGCAAAGCGCGAAAUGUAAUGUGAAUUGCAGAAUUCAGUGAAUCAUCGAAUCUUUGAACGCACCUUGCGCUUUUGGGUUAUUCCUGAAAGCAUGCUUGUUUGAGUGUCGCGUACCAUCUCAACCCCGCCCUUUCUCAUGAGAGGGUAGCUUCAGGGUUGGAUCAUGGCGCCCUUGUCGUGUAAAAGCGACUGCGCUGAAUUGCAAUCAAGCUGUAUCUUUGCCAAGCGACCGGCGGCUUGACCCGUUGUCAUAAGACUUUCAAUGGGGACGCCAACCGCUUAACCUUUUAAAGAAGGAGCUUACCAAUUUUGAAAUUUUUCGCAUUGACCUCAAAUCAAGUAGGACUACCCGCUGA